UUGAUGGUAUAUUUAUUAUCUGUAAGAACUACAGGUUCUACAGGUUCAGUUUCAAGUUUGCUAAGAUAGACCAGGGCAGAAAUAUAGUUAAUGCGCUCCUACAUCAUAUAAGACCGAAGAAAGCUAAUCUUCUUUUUGCAUUUGAACAACGCCUGUACACACAUUUAGAUGAGGGCAAUAGGAAGAUUUCGAGCUGGAAGGAGAUAAAAAAGAAAUCACAAG